GAUGAACGCUGGCGGCGUGCCUAAUACAUGCAAGUCGAGCGAACGGACGAGAAGCUUGCUUUUCUGAUGUUAGCGGCGGACGGGUGAGUAACACGUGGAUAACCUACCUAUAAGACUGGGAUAACUUCGGGAAACCGGAGCUAAUACCGGAGAAUAUUUUGAACCGCAUGGUUCAUAAGUGAAAGACGGUCUUGCUGUCACUUAUAGAUGGAUCCGCGCUGCAUUAGCUAGUUGGUAAGGUAACGGCUUACCAAGGCAACGAUGCAUAGCCGACCUGAGAGGGUGAUCGGCCACACUGGAACUGAGACACGGUCCAGACUCCUACGGGAGGCAGCAGUAGGGAAUCUUCCGCAAUGGGCGAAAGCCUGACGGAGCAACGCCGCGUGAGUGAUGAAGGUCUUCGGAUCGUAAAACUCUGUUAUUAGGGAAGAACAUCUGUGUAAGUAACUGUGCCCAUCUUGACGGUACCUAAUCAGAAAGCCACGGCUAACUACGUG
rnacentral:rRNA from 1 species